rnacentral:rRNA from 1 species
UACGUAGGCAGCGAGCGUUGUUCGGAUUUACUGGGCGUAAAGAGCGCGCAGGCGGUCGUUCAAGUCGCGUGUGAAAGCCCCCGGCUCAACUGGGGAGGGUCACGCGAUACUGAUCGACUCGAAGGCAGGAGAGGGAAGUGGAAUUCCCGGUGUAGUGGUGAAAUGCGUAGAUAUCGGGAGGAACACCAGUGGCGAAGGCGACUUCCUGGCCUGUUCUUGACGCUGAGGCGCGAAAGCUAGGGGAGCAAACGGG